GAGUUUUUUGGUUUUCCGAUUUUUCAGAUCCACCUGGACCAUGUGAUGUUCCUGCCUCAGCCUCCUGCAUAAAUGAGAUUAAAGACACAAGACAGGCAAACCCAGCUUAUGUUGUUUACAUGUGAAAGUGUAACUGAACCAAGUCUCUAAGGAAGCUUGAAAAAUAUGCCUCCUGUAUGGCAGAUAAAUUACCAUCUGAGAAGUCUGCAGAUGCUUAAUAAGCCAGCCCAUAAUUCUAAAAGCAACUUGUAGAAAAACAGUUAAGGAAUGCGUGCUUAUUCUAACUGUAUUUUGAAAUGAACUAAGACGAGCGUUAAAUAAUAGAAAAACACAGAGAAAGAACAGAGAGAACGAGGCUCUGGAAGCUGUGACGCUGAUGGAUGGUGAGCACAGACGCCUAGCUAGCUGGGAUAGGCAUGUGGACCAUACCACAGUUACUGUUGGUGCCCAGUGCAGCCUGCAUGCUCUCAGGAGGAAGCGAGAGCCCCUUCUUAGGUUGAAGUUCUGUAAUCAGCUUCUCCACUUUAGAUGUUUGAGCCUGGACACAAUUAUUAUAGAUCAAGUAUGCUGUAUCCUGGGCCGUAUGGGCUGGUUCCCCUUCCACAUCUUAUACAGCCUGUUUAGAAAGUAGACAAUCUAGAUGUAGAUGCCCUCCAUACCCUGACGGCCUUUUAAACUGCACCCAAUAUUCCUUUGGCAAAGUAUAAAACUAAGAGCAGCACGAGCUGUCUAGUAAUAUCAGAGGUUUCGCUAAAAUCCAUCAUUUUCUGCCACCAACCCUUUUUUGACAGGCUGGCUUGGAGCUUGCUCUGUAGACUAGGCUGGCCUUGAGCUCACAAGAGAGCCACAUGCCUCUGCCUCCAGAAGGCGGGGUAUGCGUGCACUACGUCAUCAGGCCAUAAAGCAGAUCUCUUCUUUCUGCACGUCCUCUCAGCAAACACAUCAACCAAGUCUGUGAACUCUCUUCUCUACGUACUGACUGAUAAGGAAGAGAAACAUACACAGCCAAGACACAGACUGCACCACAGAAUCAGUCGCCAACAACUUCCCUAUCAUCCCAAGGGACAAUGUUCAGCCUUAAUCACCUUUAAUCUCUUCAUAACACUUCAUUUGAGUAGUCACUUUAUCCUCUAUGAAGUACCUGUCCUGUGUGAGAUAGGAGUCAACCCAGAUCCUAACAAUUCCAGGGUACCUCUUCAUGAGGAACCAGCUUUUACUCUUAGUUUCCUUUGUGACUGCUCUUUUGUUUGUUUGUUUGUUUGUUUCCCCAUUAAGUUUUGGUAUUGAAACUCCUGUUGAUGACUUUUUCCCUUUAAUUUCAUAUGCCCUAAAUGGGUGUAGCUGUGCCCAAUUGAAGGUAUUCAAUUGAUCCUGGUGUCAGCAGUGCUCCCCUCUACCUGCCCCAGUGGUUGCCUUUAUAUUUUUAUGUGCCUUGAACAGCUCAAUGGCUGUGCCACUUCCUAACCUUCACAUGGCUAAUCCACUCCCCCCCCCCAUUUCCGAAUUACUUCUUGCUAAAAUCUAUACUCCAUCUUUGCUGCCCUAGGCCCAGUCAUGCAGCCCUCUCGAGCUGCGUUUCCUGGCUCCUACGCGACAACUGUGUUCUCUGUCCUAUACCUCUCCUUCCUCCUUCCUUGGUCCCUUGCCUGGAAUCCUAAAAAUCCCACUUCUGGCUCUCUGCCCAGCCACAGCAUUAGAGCAAACCCACAACAUUUCCCCCUUUCUGUACAUUUAAAAAGGCCCUUUUUUUUUUCCCUCUCAGAUACCUGUUGGACAUAAUUAUAAACAAUUACGUAAAUGUGGCAACCUAGAUAAAUCACUCUAUCAUCUAUCCUGACUUAAAGAGUUAAAUUCUGUGUCUGAAUUUUGUUGACUUUAACUUGUAUUACCAUCUGAAAACCAUCCUUUAAAAUCUACAUCAUCUUCCUUAAUUCAUUUAUGCCCAUGUGUCCAGGGACUCUGGGUCUGCAUCUUCCCUGAUGUCUAGACCCAGUUGUGACCUGCCUGCUGCACACCCACUGCCCAUCCCCUGUGCCUGUCCCUUGUGCCCUUCCCCUGUGCCCUUCCCCUGUGCCUGUCCCCUGUACCCUUCCCCUGUGCCUGUCCCCUGUGCCCAUCCCCUGUGCCUGUCCCUUGUGCCCUUCCCCUGUGCCCAUCCCCUGUGCCUGUCCCUUGUGCCCUUCCCCUGUGCCCUUCCCCUGUGCCCAUCCCCUGUGCCUGUCCCCUGUGCCCAUCCCCUGUGCCUGUCCCUUGUGCCCAUCCCCUGUGCCUGUCCCUUGUGCCCUUCCCCUGUGCCCAUCCCCUGUGCCUGUCCAGGAUUCAUACCCUUGUAUAACCCCUCCUACAGUGAACCUGAGCUGACCCUGCCAGUCACUCUAAGACUUUUACAAUGGGACAGAGUGAUGCUGUGUUGAUUCAAGGCCCAGCCUACAGAAUGCCAAGCUGCCUCAGUUUUGCACAUUAACAGGCACACCUGCUGGAGGACCACUUCAAAAGGGAGGCCCAGGCACCCUACAAUCUCUAGCAAAGCCAUCCUUUACUUUUCCAUCAAGAUGCCGUCCCUAGGACACUUGAGUCGUAGGCAUUCUAAACCUGAGCCUUCCCCAUGACUUCAGUUGUGGGCAGUAUCCCAGGAAGCUACAGAAGUGCCUGCUGAACCAGAUCAACUCAUAGACUAAUUUGAGGCCAAAGAGAAACCCACCUGGAACCCUCUGGCCACAGGAACUGAGGAACAGUCUCAGACAGAAUCCUUCUAUUUUCCUCCUGAGCCUGGAGAUGACCCUGUGACACAGCUCUCUGUAAACAGAAAAGCCAGGCUUACAGGAGGGUCAAACCACUGUCAGAGACAGCAAGACCAGCCAACACCAGAGAUAACCAGAUGGCAAAAGGCAAGGACAAGAACCUAAGCAACAGAAACCAAGGCCACAUGGCCUCAUCAGAAUCCAGUUCCCCCACAACAGCAAGCCUUGGAUACCAUAACACACCAAAAAGCAUGAUUUUGACUUAAAAUCACAACACAUGAUGAUGUUAGAAGACUUUAAGAAGGACACAUAUAACUCUCUUAAAGAAAUACAGGACAACACAGGUAAACAGGUAGAAACUCUUAAAGAAAAAAACACAAAAAUCACUUAAAGCAUUACAGGAAAACACGAACAGUUGAAGGAAUUUUAAAACCUUACAGGAUCUAGAAAUGGAAAUAGAAACGAUAAAGAAUCACAAAGGGAGACAACCCUAGAGAUAGAAAACCUAGGAAAGAGAUCAGGAGUCAUAGAUCCAAGCAUUACCAACAGAACACAAGAGAUAGAAGAGAGAAUCUCAGGGGCAGAAGAUAACAUAGAAAACAUUAACAUAACAGUCAAAGAAAAUGGAAAAUGCAAAAAGCUCCUAACCCGAAACAUCCAUGAAAUCCAGGACACAAUGAGAAGAUCAAACCUAAGGAUAAUAGGUACAGAAGAGAGAAAAGAUGCCCAACUUAAAGGGCCAGUAAAUAUCUUCAACAAAAUUAUAGAAGAAAACUUCUCUAACCUAAAGAAAGAGAUGCCCACAAACAUACAAGAAGCCUACAGAACUCCAAAUAGAUUGGACCAGAAAGAAAUUCCUCCUGUCACAUAAUAGUCAAAACACUAAAUAAACAAAACAAAGGAAGAACAUUAAAAGCAGUAAGGGAAAAAGGUCAAGUGACAUAUAAAGGCAGACCUAUCAGAAUCACACCGGACUUCUCAACAACGAUUAUGAAAGCUAGAAGAUCCUGGGCAGAUGCCAUACAGACCCUAAGAGAACACGAAUGUCAACCCAGGCUACUAUAUCCAGCAAAAUUAUUAAUUAAAUAUAGGUGGAAAAGCCAUGAUAUUCCAUGACAAAACCAAAUUUACAUAAUAUCUUUCCAGAAAUCCAGUCCUACACAGAAAAAUAGAUGGAAAACUCCAAUACAAGGAAAGAAACAAAACUGUAGAAAAAGCAAGAAAGUAAUCUAAUUUCAACUAACCCCAAAGAAGAUAGCCACACAAACAUAAUUCCAACUCUAACAACAAAAAUAACAGAAAACAACAAUCAUUGGUCCCUAUAUCUCUCAACAUCACUGGACUCAAUUCCCCCAAUAAAAAUAUAUAGACAGACUGGACAGGUAAAGGGGACCCAGCAUUUUGCUGCAUACAGGAAACCUGCCUCAGAGACAAAGACAGACACUACCUCUGAGUAAAAGGCUGAAAAACAAUGUUCCAAGCAAAUGACACAAGAAACAAAGUAGCCAUUCUAAUAUGGAAGAAAAUCGACUUUCAAACAAGAGUUAUCAAAAAAGAUAAGGAAGGACACUUCAUAUUCAUCAAAGGAAAAAUCCACCAAGAUGAACUCUCAAUCCUGAAAAUCUAUGCUCCAAAUGCACCUACACUCAUAAAAGAAACCUUACUAAAGCUCAAAGCGCACAUUGCACCUCACACAAUAAUAAUGGGAGAAUUAAUCACUCCACUCUUAUCUAUGGACUGAAAUCAACCAAGUAGAAACAAAAAGAACUAUACAAAGAAUCAAAAAAAGAAAAAAAAAGGGAGCUGGUUCUUUGAGAAAAUUAACAGGAUAGAUAAACCCUUAGCUAAACUAACCAGAGGGCACAGAGACAGUAUCCAAAUUAUCGAUAUCAGAAAAGAAAAAGAAGACAAAACAACAGAAACUAAGGAAAUUCAAAAAAUUAUUAGAUUUUAAAAUCAUCAGAAUUACAAAAUAAUCAUCAGAAUUACAAACGUCUAUACUGAACAAAACUGGAAAAUCUGGAGGAAAGGGACAAUUUUUCUAAACAGAUACCAGGUACCGAAGUUAAAUCAGGAUCAGAUAAACCAUCUAAACAGCCCCAUAACUCCUAAAGAAAUAGAGACAGUCAUUAAAAGUCUCCCAACCAAAAAAAGCCUAGGACCAAUGGGUUUAGUGGAGUAGUCUAUUAGACCUUCAUAGAAGACCUAAUACCAAUACUCUCCAAAUUAUUCCACAAAAUAGAGACAGAAGGAACACUACACCCAAUUCCUUCUAUAAAGUCACAAUUAUGCUUAUACCUAAACCACAUAAAGACCCAACAAAGAAAGAAAACUUCAGACCUAUUUCCGUUAUGAAUAUCAAUGCAAAAUUACUCAAUAAAAUUCUUUCAAACCAAGAACACAUCAAAAUGAUCAUCCAUCAUGAUCAAGUAGGCCUCAUCCCAGCGAUAAAGGGAUGGUUCAAUAUACGGAAAUCUGUCAAAGUAAUCCAAAGUAAACAAACUCAAAGAAAAGAACCACAUGAUCGUUUCAUUAGAUGCUGAGCAAGCAUUUGACAAAAUUCAACACCCCUUCGUGUUAAAAGUCCUGGAAACAUCAGGAAUUCAAGGCCGAUACCUAAACAUAGUAAAAACAAUAUACAGCAAACCAGUAGCCAACAUCAAACUAAAUGGAGAAAAACUUGAAGCAAUCCCACUAAAAUCAGGGACUAGAGAAGGCUGCCCGCUCUCUCCCUACUUAUUCAAUAUAGUUCUAGCCAUAGCAACGAGACAGUGAAAGGAGGUCAAAGGGAUACAAAUUGGAUAGGAAGCAGCAAAAAAUUACUAUUUGCAGAUGAUAUGAUAGUAUGCUUAAAUGACCCCAAAAAUUCUACCAGAGAACUCCUAAACCUGACAAACAACUUCAUCAAUGCAGCUGGAUAUAAAAUUGACUCAAAUAAAUCAGUAGCCUUCUUCUACUCAAAGGAUAGACAGGCUGAGAAAGAAAUUAGGGAAAUGACACCCUUCACAAUAGUCACAAAUAAUAUAUAAUACCUCAGUGUGACUCUAAGCAAAUGAAAGAUCUACAUGACAAGGUCUAUAUGACAAGAACUACAAGUCUCUGAAAAAAGAAAUUGAAGAAGAUCUCAGAAGAUAGAAAGAUCUCCCGUGCUCAAGGAUUGGCAAGAUUAAUAUUGUAAAAUGGCCAUCUUGUCGAAAUCAAUCUACAAAUUCAAUGCAAUCCCCACCAAAAUUCCAACACAAUUCUUCAUAGAGUUAGAAAGAGUAAUUCACAAUUUCAUUUGGAAUAACAAAAAAUCUAGGAUAGCAAAAACUAUCCUCAAAAAUAAAAACUUCUGGGGGAAUCACCAUUCCUGACCUCAAGCUGUAUUACAGAGCAAUAGUGAUAAAAUCUGUAUGGUAUUGGUACAGAGACAGGCAGGUAGAUCAGCGAAAUAGAACUGAAGACCCAGAAAUGAACCCACACAUGUGUGGUCAUUUGAUCGUUGACAAAGGAGCUAAAACCAUCCAGUGGAAAAAAGAUAGCAUUUUCAUCAAAUAGUACUGGUUCAACUGGAGGUCAGCAUGUAGAAGAAUACAAAUUGAUCCAUUCUUAUCCCCCUGUUCAAAGCUUAAGUCCAAGUGGAUCAAGGACCUCCACAUAAGACCAGAUACACUCAGACUAGUAGAAGAAAAAAAUGGGGAAGAGCUUGGAACACAUGGCCACUGGCGAAAAUUUCCUGAACAAAACACCAAUGGCUUAUGUUCUAAGAUCAAGAAUCGACAAAUUGGACCUCAUAAAAUUGCAAAGCUUUUGUAAGGCAAAGGGCACUGUCAUUAGGACAAAAUGGCAACCAACAGAUUGGGAAAAGAUCUUUACCAAUCCUACAUCUGAUAGAGGGUUAAUAUCCAAUAUAUACAAAGAACUCAAGAAGUUAGACUCCAGAGAAUCAAAUAACCCUAUUAAAAAUGGGGUACAGAGCUAAACAAAGAAUUCUCAACUGAGGAAUAUUGAAUGAAUGAGAAACACCUAAAGAAAUGUUCAACAUCCUUAGUCAUCAGGGAAAUGCAAAUCAAAACAACUGGAAGAUUCCACCUCACACCAGUCAGAAUGUUGUGAGAUCAAAAACUCGGGUGACAACAGAUACUGGUGAGGAUGUGGAGAAAGAGGAACACUCCUCCAUUGUUGGUGGGAUUACAAGCUGGUACAACCAUUCUGGAAAUCAGUCUGGAGGUUCCUCAGAAAAUUGCACAUAGUACUACCUGAGGACCCAGCUAUACCUCUCUUGGGCAUAUACCCAAAAGAUGCUCCAACAUAUAAAAGGACACACGUGCUCCACUCUGUUCAUAGCAGCCUUAUUUAUAAUAGCCAGAAGCUGGAAAGAACCCAGGUGUCCCUCAACAGAGGAAUGGAUACAGAAAAUAUGGUACAUCUACACAAUGGAAUACUACUCAGCUAUCAAAAACAACGACUUCAUGAAAUUCAUAGGCAAAUGGAUGGAACUAGAAAAUAUCAUCCUGAGUGAGGUAACCCAAUCACAAAAAAAAAAAAACCAUACAUGAUAUGCACUCACUGAUAAGUGGAUAUUAGCCCAAAAGCUAGAAUAACCCAAGUUACCAUCCAUAGACCACAUGAAACUCAAGAAGGAUGACCCAAGUCUGGAUGCUUCAGUCCUUAUUAGAAGGGGGAACAAAAAUAUUCAUAGGAGGAGAUAUGGAGACAAAGUUUGGAGCAGAGACUGAAGGAAUGGCCAUCUGGAGACUGCCCCUCCUGGGGAUCCAGUCCAUAUACAUACAGCCAUCAAAUCCAGACAAUAUUGCUGAUUCCAAGAAGUGCAUGCUAACAGGAGCUUGAUACAGCUGUCUCCUGAGAGGCUCUGCCAGAGCCUAAGAAAUACAGAGGUGAAUGCUAGCAGCAAACUAUUGAACUGAGAAUAUGGUCCUUAUUGCAGGAGUUAGAGAAAGGAUUGAAGGAGCUGAAGGGGUUUACAACCUCAUAAGAACAAUACCAACCAACCAGAGCUCCCAGAGACUAAAAAACAAUCCAAAGAGUACACAUGGACAGACCCAUGGUUCCAGCUGCAUAUGUAGCAAAGGAUGGCCUUGUUGGGCACUAAUGGGAGGAGAACCCCUUGGUCUUGCCAAGACUGUACCCUCCAAUGUAGGGGAAUGUCAGGGCAGGGAUGCAGGGAGGGGUGGGUGGAUGGGUGGGGGUACACCCUUAUAGAAGAAGGGGUAGGGGGAUGGGAUGGGGGUUUAUGGACAGGAAACUGGGAAAAGGGAUAACAUUUGAAAUGAAAAUAAAAAAUAUCAAUUAAAAAAAA